AUAUAUCGAUUCGUUUUUCUUCUGUAGUCAUAUUCGGGUGAACACUUUUUCAACGUUGAAUAAAUCAGUAAUAAAUCAUAAAGCAUUGUAAGAAAUAAAUAAACGUUAUUUUUUCAUAAGUACAUCCACAAAUUAGAGAUAUUGAACUGUGAAAUGCUUUUAGGAUUAUCUCAUUAUCAUGAUUUUUACGAAAAUUAUAAACUAUUGAAUUUUGCUUAUUUUUUAUGGUCGUCGAGAAAUAAUAGCUGUUAUGUAAAAUAACAUGUCUAAAUUUACGACUUACCUUUUUUUUUUAUACAUAAUUGUUUCACAAUGUUCUGUAGAAAUCUAUUAGAUUAGAAAAAAAAUACUUUUUUUUAAAUACGUAAUUCAUUCUGACGUAGAAGCGAUUCAUCGGUGAUAAUAUUUACGGAACAAAAAUCUGCUCAUCUGUUUAUAUAUAACUAGCAAAUAACUUGCGAUUUUAUAUUUACUAUAUAAUUCAUUAAACAGGAAUUUAAAUCAGUAGUGAAUUCAUAAAAUUGCAUGUUAUUUAUUAUAUUUGUUCGUCAUGUUGAUAGAGAGAUAUAUAUAUAUAUGUAUCAGUAAUUGAAAUCUGUAUUUUAAUUGCUAAAUAUGCAAAACCAUAUAUGUUCAAUAAAGAAUUGAACUGUACAUGUUCGGUAGUUUUACAUGGAAAUAUUAUCGCACAAUCCUAACCUAUCGUACUGUUUCAGGGAUCAUUAUGCAGUUUGAAAUCGAAUAUUAUUAUCAAUGUUAUAAUUCACGAUAUAUAUAUAAUUCACUUGGAUCGCCAUGGGUUGUUCUUUAGGAAAAAGCAUCCGAAUGUUCGGAAAAAUAUCCAAGGUUGGCUGGCACAUAGGGAAGGAUCUGGAUGCGCGUUUAUUUACGUACGCAAGAGGGAAACGAGCAGCCGAUCGCCGAAAAUCUAUGCUGCUGCUGCUGCCUCUCUUAUGAACGGUAGAAAUUAGCUGCAUCGAUUUCUUAUAAAAUCGUUGUUAUCACGUGCG